rnacentral:tRNA from 1 species
CGGGGAUUGGCGCAGUUGGUAGCGCGCACGGCUGGGGGUCGUGAGGUCGUGAGUUCAAGUCUCGCAUCCCCGACCA